GUGGGGAAUAUUGCACAAUGGGGGAAACCCUGAUGCAGCAACGCCGCGUGAGCGAAGAAGGCCUUUGGGUCGUAAAGCUCUGUCCUCAGGGAAGAAGGAAGUGACGGUACCUGAGGAGGAAGCCCCGGCUAACUACGUGCCAGCAGCCGCGGUAAUACGUAGGGGGCAAGCGUUAUCCGGAAUUAUUGGGCGUAAAGGGUACGUAGGCGGUUUGAUCAGCGUGAGGUGAAAGGCACUGGCUUAACCAAUGUAAGCCUUGCGAACUGUCAGACUUGAGUGCAGGAGAGGAAAGCGGAAUUCCUAGUGUAGCGGUGAAAUGCGUAGAUAUUAGGAGGAACACCAGUGGCGAAGGCGGCUUUCUGGACUGUAACUGACGCUGAGGUACGAAAGCGUGGGGAGCAAACAGGAUUAGAAACCCCAGUAGUCC
rnacentral:rRNA from 1 species